GCCAUGGCCUCCCAAAGUGCUGGGAUUACAGGCGUGAGCCACUGCACCCGGCCGAAAAACACUUUUUAAUACCUGCAGCGUAGCCUAUGCAUACAAUGUCUAUGAAGUCUACAAUAGUGCACAGCAAUGUCCCAGGCCUUGACAGUCACUCACCACCCACUCACUGACUCACCUACGGCAACUUCCAGUCCUUCAAGCUCCAUUCAUGGCAAGUGCCUUACACAGGUGUACCAUCUUUUUUUACACCGUAUUUUUACUGUAUCUUUUCUAUGUUUAGAUAGGUUUAGAUACACAAAUACUGACCACCGUUGCCACUGCCCACAGUAUUCCAUGCAAUGACAUGCUGUCCAGGUCUGUAGCCUAGAAGCAAGAGGCUGCAUCAUUCAGCCUAGGUGUGCAUUAGGCUAUCCCAUGUGAGUAGUAAGUCACUCUUCGAUGUUCCCCCAAUGAUGAAAUUACCCAAGGAUGCAUUUAUCAGAAUGUAUCCCUACUGUUAAGCAACACAUCUGUAUACAUACAUACAUAUAUUAAACUUUAUAACACAUUGCAGAUAGAUAUUACCCCAUUUCACAAAACAGAAAAAAAAAGCAGGUUUGGUAAAUUAAGAAACUUACUUAAAAUCACACAGCUGGUAAGUGGUGAAGCCAGGAUUAGAACAAAGGUCUGUGUAAAUACAACAAUGCUCUUCUUAAUUUCUCUGACACCAAGGUUUUAUGUUAUCAAAAUCAGCAAUAUUACACUACCCAGAUACUCCCCAGGGAGUCAGUCUGCUGAAACCCAGACCACCACAGGAAUUCCAGACCCAAGGGCUCCUUCCUCAGGAAAGCACAGGCAUUGAUGCUCCAUAAAGCUCAGGUGGGACUCCAUAGGCAAUUACUUGUUCCAGGUUCUCUUCCAGGAGGUUUUCUAGCCUUCCUACCAGACAUUCCUUACUCCCUCCCUGCCCCCAGGCAUGUCACUGUAAACGCUGGUGGCUUGUCUCUCAUCUCUUCGCUCCCAUCAUAAACCAUCUCCUAACAUGGUCCAGCAGCAGAAUGUUUCCCCUCCGGAGGUGUUUCUGCCCACUGUCUUGGCCUUUUCCGUAAUCUUCCAGAAGUUACUAUCUGGGUGGAGUCUGCUGCCAUGAAACAGUCAGAAGCCUGACAGGAGUUACUGAGUAUACUGGGGUUAGAGCAUUUGCUUUCCUAUCAGGUGAAGUAUUCAAGCUCAGACAUAGAACGUGGGUUCUAACAGUCCUACAGUAUUCUAGAUGUCCCAAUCGAUAACUUCAGUAUUUCUUCAUACCUCAAUCCAAUGCCUCUCCAUCUCACAUUCUAGCUAUUUCACUGGCUGCUAUAGGAUCAACUACGAUUGUUUGUAAAGCAUUUUAUGGACAAAGUCCAUUAUUAUUAUGGAGACCUAGCAUGCAGCAAUGAUUAAGAGCCCAGAGACUGGAUUAAAGGCUCUCUGAGUUUUGAAUCCUCUUCUUCCACUUAGAAGCAGGGUAAGCUUGGGCAGGCAGCUAAAUUUUUUGAGUUCCAGCUUCUAAAGUGUUUCAGACAUAAAAGGUGCUCAAUAAAGACACUGAUAGAAGGAAUGAAUGAAUGAAGGAAUCUGGCUUAUACUUUCUGCUCACCAAGUGUCUGCUGCAGCUGUCUUACAGCCAGGCUGAUAAUGAAUGAGUAAUAAUUAAAUGAGUUCACCUACACAAAACACUAGUCACUGGCCUGCCAUUUAGUCAGUACAAAAUAAAUGGUGACUAUUAUCCUUAACCCUAUUGUAAUUAAGUUUGCAAAAACUCAGAUAUAACAAUGACUUUGUCAAAUAAAAGGAUUUCAAAUGCUAAUACAGCUUUGCCAGAGAAUUGGAGACAGGAACUUUGUCUUUUACAGCUGGUCCUUUCCCUUUUCUACUGUGAAAUACUUCUAAACUUUAUCUCCACUACAAAGUGCAGGAACUUACUGGUACUUGGCUGAAUCAAAGGGAAGAAAUCGACCUUCAGAGGUCAUGUGGCCCAUCUACUGGCCUUCAGGCUAAACUGUCUUAAUCAUCUGAGAGAAAUGAUUAUCUCUCCACUUUCAAAGACUUCUAGGGAUGAAACCUGAAUAACCUGUCACAGUAAUACCCUCGAACAGAUCUGCCAGAAAGUUCUUGCUUUGUGUUUAACCUUAAUCUCUCAUGAGACACUCAGAAUCCUUUUUCUCUUAUUUUAUUCUCCACAAAGCUUGAGUACCACCUUCUGUGUAAGAAGACUCAGGAAGACAGAUUACUCAGAGCAAGCAAUAAGGAAGCGUGUGCCCUGGAAGUUUCUGGCAAGACUGAUUUAGAGAUGGACCUAUUGCAACUACUACUAUCUGACGCUAGGUGAUGGGCAUGUGGAGACAAUGAGUUCACAGUCACACGAGACACAAAGACAUGCACAUAAAAUUUAAUAUCACACUAACAAUAGAUAUCACUUAUGAAAUACCUAUUAUAAGCCAUGUAUUUUACAAAAUUUAUCUUUCAUCUUUAAAAUAAAGUUGCAAUAAAGCUGUUAUGUCUAUUUCAUAAAUUUAGGUUUAAAAACAACACUUUUCUGCCAUUUAAGAAAACAAGCUCUCACCAUGUCUACUGUGUUUUGUGAAAUAGUCUUAGUAUGAAUUUAGGAGGUUCAGAGACCAUCUUUUUCAUUCAACAUCUGUUCGGCAGAUAUUUACAGAGCACUCACUAUGUGCUGGGCCUUGGAAUGCAGCAGCAAACAAGAUUCGGUCUUUGUGAUAAACCAUGUUGAGUCUAGUGCACAAGUGAGACAAGUGUCAACAGGGAAAUGGAACACGAUGAUACGGAGAAACCCAGAGUUCUGCAGGAACAUGGAGGUGGGAUACCUGAACCAGUUUUGGGGGACAUGGGAAGAUUCCUGAAAGAAGAAAUGCCUCAACUGACAACUAAGAGAAAAGCCAGACAAAGAUGAAGAAAAAAAUCAUUCUAAGCAGAACAGCAGCAUUCAUUCUGGGUUAGUAAUAAGAAAGCAGCUAAUCAGAGCCAUAAAGUUUAGACACUGUCUAAAUCACAUGGCUAGAAAUGCAUGGAAUCAGGAUAGAAGUCUAGUUACUCUGAAAGCCAAGUGUAGAUUUUUUUCAACACCACCUGCUUUUCACUACCAUCUAAUUUAACUGUCAAUCAGUACAUUCUCAGAAUAAUAUGAGAUAUGUUUGGGUACUUUAAAAAAAAAGCCAUGUAAUUCAGAAUCAAAAGGAGAUGACGAGAGGUAAGAUAACUGAUAACCAACAUCUAAGAGAAAAAGCCAGAGACACUUCUGGGGUGCCUGAAAAGUUCUCCUCAUGGUUACGUGGGUGUAUACAUAUGUUAACGUGCACUGAACUAUUUUUUUUCAGAUAAAUAAAAAUUUAUGCUCUUUGCAGUAUGUACAUUAUAUCUCAGUAAAAGGAAAAAAUCUAAAAGAAAAAUCCCUAAUUUAUAUGUUAGAAGAACCAAGAGGCAUUUAUUGUUGCCUGUUUAACAUGCAUCUUCACCUUCUUUCUUACCAACAGAUCCCUUACAAUGCUAGGGAUUGGGCACUAGUGAUAACAUAUCAAUCCUUUUGCAGAUGAAGUAGUCAACGAGAUAGAAGCAAAAUUUACGGUGUGAAGCUUCUAGGAAAUUUCCUAACAGAAGACCAACUCACCUAGCAGGCAUGGCUUUCCACUCUUCCCCCUGCUUCCUGACUGAACCUCAACUUGGCAGCUGGAAGUAUAAUAGCCACUGUGAAUGAGAAGAGCGUUGGGAUAGAAGCCAGGGUGAAGGAGUGUGGAAGAGAAGGGCAGAAGCAGCCUGGAUUCUUAGUAACUACAGAAAGCUGUCACAUGAGCUUGGAGCCGAUUACAUCCUUGCAUGAGAGAAAAAUAAAACAUCUAAUUUGGUUGAAUUUAUGAUUAAUUCAUAGUUUAACCCAGCCCUAAAAAAUAGAGCAAUGCAUUUGGAAAUAAGGUGUGUGAGUAUCCCUGUAUUUUUCCGACAUAGAGAUAGCUAACCUUAUUUUCUUAUUUUAACAGGAACAGCAAUGUCCUGCUACUCUUCCUACGACAAAGUUGCUUAAAAGGUUGCAGAUGGUUCUACGGAAUUGAAAAAAAAUUAUGAAUUUUUAUUAGAUUCCAAGAAAAAGGAGACAAGGAGAAUAAUGUUUGCCUUAUGAGAACUGCCUCAGUUCCCACUGUGCCUCUUUCCUCCUCCAACACACCCAAGUCCACCACUCCGGGAAGCCUCAGCAAUGCCCGGGCGUGCAGCUCACAGAGCAUGUGCUGCCGUCCAUGUGCGAGGUCUGUGCAAUGCCGUAUUUACUUUUAUAGACUCGAGUUUUCAUGUUUAAGCAGGUUUCUCCAUCUUACUGUAAUCAUUUUAGAAGAUGGCAUAGAAUAGUUAACCAGGCUUUGAAGCCAAACGAACAUAUAUCAGAAAUUAGGCUUCAGCAUUUACUCUCUGUCAGCUUAAAAUUCAUUCAAUUUCUCAUCUGUAAAAGUUAAAAAAAAUCUUUCAUAAGACUGUUGUAAAGUUUAAAUGAAAUCAUGUGUUAUAUACCUAUAUGAAGGACAGUUGUUGUUAAUGAUAUUAAAGCAGAAGUCCUUUUUAAAUGAGUAAUUUUCCUCAGAGUCCUUACUUUUGUGGUCAUACAAUCUACUCAGCAAACAUUCAUUGUUGCCUGAAAAGUAAGGACCUGGAACCGGACCUGGGUGCGGGCAGUGGACAGGGUUCUGUCGAGAGUCAAAGAUAGCAGUGAACGUGUACUCAACGUCAGUGACCAGUGAUAACCUAAGUGGACAUGACAUGCUGGUCUGGAUCAAUUAGCCUCUGCAGUUGAAGAGUUGUGCUCAGGGGCUGCCUAGUGUUAGUUUAUGGACAUGCUGUUCCCUGGCUCCAUUGCCUUGAAGAAAGUGAAAUUCUAAGCUAAGCUAGAACAUGGGUGCAUCCAGAACUUCAAAAUACUACAAGUAGGUCUUAAGAGGAUGGGUGUUGACAAAAUAAUUCCUGUGGACAAAUUAGUAAAAGGAAAGUUUCACGAAAACUCUGAAUUUGUUCAGCGGUUCAAGAAGUUUUUUGAUGCAAACUAUGGUGGAAAAAGACUAUGACCCUGUGGCUGCCAGACAAGGUCAAGAAUUUGCAGUGGCUCCCUCUCUCAUUGCUCCAGCUCUGAAUAAACCCAAGAAACCUCUCAGUCCUAGCAGUGCAGCUCCCCAGAGGCCCAUCUCAACACAGUGAACUGCUGCGGCUCCUAAGGCUGGCCCUGGCAUGGUGUGAAAGAACCCCGGUGCGCGCAACGGGGACGACAGGCAGCUGAGUUGGUGCAGCAGUCAACGUACUGAAAAUUACUGUUGAAGACUUGGAGAAAGGGAGGGAUUUCUAUUUUGGAAAGCUAUGGAACAGUGAAUUGAUUUGCCAGGAGAACGAGGGGGAAAAUGACCCUGUAUUGCAGAGGACUGCAGACAUUCUGUAUGUCACAGAUGAAGGGACAUCUGAUGAAGGAGGCCCACAGGAGCAAGAAGAGUAUUAACAGCCUGGACCAGCAGAGCAACAUCUGAAUUCUUCACUUCAUGUGCUUAACUAUAAAAUACUCCCUUUUAUUAUCCUUAGAGGACUCACUGGUUUCUUUUCACAAGCAGAAAGUGCCUCUUCUUAGGGUUCACCUGGUUCACCUCGGACACAAAGAGGCUGACUGUGGGGCUCACCGUGCAGAUGCGGGUCACACUGAGUACUGGAGAAGGUGUUAUGUAAUAUGCUGAGGCAGCGACCUCAGUGGAGAAAUGGAAAGGCUCAAUUGAAUUUUUAAGCUAAUGUGAAAUCAGAGAACGCUGUAAUAAAUAAAUGCCUUAAGAGUAUUUAAAAUAUGCUUCCAUAUUUCAAAAUAUAAAAUGUAACAUUACAGGAGAUACUGUGUUUGACACUGUGUUUGGGAAGGAAGGGCCAGACCUUGGAACCUUUGGAACCUGCUGUCACAGGUCUUAUAGGGCUGCUUGAAGCCUCAUAGGCCUAGGCUUUGGUCUAAAAUGAAUAUUUAAAAAGUUGUCCUGUAAAGCCACUUGGUGUCAUUGGUCAAUUGCAUCCUUGCUAAAAAGCAAGAGGCAUUGUUUCCUGGAUAACAGAGGAUGUGUUUCAGCCCACAACAUAGAGAUGUUCGAGUUGAAGAGCUUGGUUUUCAUUAAGUAUUUCUCUGUUUUUCCAGUUAUCCCCAAAAUUUCUAUGUAUUACAUUUUUGGGGAAGUGAAGUGUGCCCAGAUUUUUAAUCUAACAACUACUUUUGGGGACUUCCCCACAUCUCUGGGAUUUGAAUGGGGAUUGUAUCCCAUUUUACUGUCUUUUAGGUUUACAUUGACCACGUUUCUCUUCUCUGCUCCCCUUGCUCACUGGGGACUCCUCUUUGGCUCCCUGAAGUUUGCUGCUUAGAGCUGGAAGUGAAGCAGGCAAGUGACCAUGCUGCAAUUCUUUCUGGACAUCUGGCAAAGGGAGUGGUCAGUGAAAGCCAUCGUUACCUUGGGAUCUGCAAGGCUGGGGUAUUUUUGGUAUCUGCUGUCCACAGCUCUCCACUGUAAUCUGAAUACUUUGCCAGUGCACUAGUUUCUUUGGAGAUAAAAUGCAUUGGUGUGUGGCUAAAUGUUAAUUUUCUUUUGCAGAAAAUAUAAUAUCGUGUCUAAAUUAAUUAUUAAUAUUUAAAAUAUUUCAUUCCUUAACGCUCCCUCAUUUGCAGGAUUCUGGAAAAUGUGUCUCACCCACUACUGAGAUUGUUUAGCCCCUGAUGUAUCUAUAUUGAUUAGUUUCUGGUGGUAGCUUGUCCUAAAAUGUGUGUAGAAGGCAAGUGUUCUAUGAUAAAAUUGUUGUGUAGUGCGUGCUGUGUGGAGUUCAGAGGAAACCCAGAUUCAGUGAUUAACAAUGCCAAAAAAUGUGUGUAGAAAGCAAGUGUUAUACGAUAAAACUGUGGUGUACUGCGUGCUGUGUGGAGUUCAGAGGAAAACCAGACUCAGUGAUUAACAAUGCCAAAAAAUGCGAGUAACUAGCCAUGGUUCAAACGGCAGUGGUGCUGUUUCUCUUUUGCGGCCUUUUAGACUUUAAUUGUCCUAAAAUUCCAUUUUAUUGGGAACCCAUUUUCCACUUGGUCUUUCUUGACAAGGUUUUUUUUUCACUUUAAACAGUUUCUAAAUAAAAUUCUAUACUUCAAGAGUAAAAAAAUAAAAAUAAAAAAAAGUAAGGAACUUAGGUGACACAACCCUAAAGAAAUACCAACAACUAACAGUUUCCUUUUGUUUGCUCAGUACUCUGCACUUCAUAAUUUUAUUUGACUUUCAGGAAGGUGAAUAUUAAUUUGCCUACUCACUUUAUUAGUUAAGCAUAAAGUUUACUGUGCGGCUCACUCAAGGUCACACAAUAAAUGACAGUCAGGAUUCAAAUUCGGACAUGUCUUUUGACUCAAGCUUCAGUAUUUUUACUGUAGCUUGUUAGUUAAUUUCAAACUUCAAUUAAUUUCUCAUAAACGCUAACAAGAAAACUAAGAUUUCUUAUGAAGAGACACAAGGGAACAGAUCCUUAUCACUUAUUUUUUUCUGGCAAAGAAUGACUUACAAAAUACUAUCAAUUAUAGAUACUGUCACUAGAUAUCACGAGUAAUUUUAAUGACAAUUCUUUGCACGAAGUAUUGAAACUACUUAUUAGAAUUUCAUGGAACCUAACAUUGAGAAACCAGGUUGAAAUACUGGGGACGUGUAAGAAGAAGAACUGUUACCACAGACUGAGGUUCCAGGGAACGUCUGGAGAGUAGAAAAGGGGUCAGAGAUUGGCUACCAAGUGACAGGGAGGCUGGGAAGGCUGCCGCAAAUGAAAUAUGUGCUUAGAAGUUCAAAAACUAUACAACAACUUUGGGGAAAGACCAAGAUCAAGGUUGGGUUCCUUAAGCCUAUUUUUUUUGUACUUCUGUUUUUGAUUCCCCAAGUCCAACUACAUUGGGAGUCAAGGCAUGGAAUCUUUUGGUAUUGGAUUCCUUGGCUCUUCCCAUACCAUUAGAAAUGGUCCAUCAACAUGUUAUGAGCCAGGUUACAGUAUUUCUCUGGAUCAUUUGUUAAUCUUGCAUUUGUUUUUGCAGCCAAUCCUUCCAUCUGGUAUACUAAGGUAUCUUUUUGAGGAGAUUUCUGAUAAACACAUUUGAUAUUCAGAUUUCAAAGCCAUAUCCAUUACUCUUUAGGAAAAUACUGAUUGUGAUCUGCAAUAUUUACACAUGUGAAAUAAUUAUUCCUUUUGAUUUUUUAUGGGAUUGUCGGCAUCUUCCUUUGACACAAUGUUAGGGCAGCAAAUGGUUUUUAGUGUUCCUGGGGAAUCUGGUGGCACACUAACUUACAUCAAUCUGCAUAUCAAAUUAUACAGGCUCACUCUUCAAAUAUGCAGCAUUAAAAGCAUUUAAACUAUGAUACUUACAGUACUUUAAUCAGAUAAGAAAUGUGAUAAGAAUACCUACUUUGUUUUAAAAUUACUGAUGUAAAGUAAAAUUCUACCUCUCCACAUUUUAUUCAAUAAAUAUUUAUUGAGCACUACGUAUGUUCCAGCACUGUGGCAGGCACUGGGGGAGGUGACAGUGAAUAGAUUUUAAAAAGAAGACAGACAUUGAUCAAAUAAUCACCUCAAUAUAAAAUUGCAGUUAUGAUGGAAAACUGCUGGGUAUUAUGAGAGCAUGUAAUUAUACGGAAACAAUCACAUGGGCUGCAGCAGGGAGACGUGAUAGCUCAGGACUGGAGUGGAGGUGGGCAAGCAGCAGCCAGGUCCGGGUGCUCCACAAGCAUGGUGACCUUCACUUGGACCAGUGUGCAGGCUACGGGCAUGGGGAGCACCUUCAUUGAUAAAAACCAAAACAAACAAACAAAAAACUGUGGAACUCCUGAGCCUGGUAUUAAGGUCCAUCACAAAAUGUUCUCUAUGGAUCUCUCUAUAGACACUUAGUGCACCUACCUUCCUAGGCACAGCAGGCUGCAGCCUCACUGAAAAACUGGUCACUACCAGCGCACACCAAGUCAACAGGACCACUGAAUGUUUUUUUUUUUUUUGCUCUUCUGCACAAAAACCUCCUUUGGUUUGCCUGGUAGAACGGUCAUCUAUUACUGACGACAGUUUAGAAUAUACCCACUAAACAACAACUCACUAUCUUAGGUGCUUAAGAAAUGCUGAUGAACAAAAAAGGAUGAAGAUUCCUGCCCUUGCAGAGCUUAAAUGUGAAUAGCGACAGUUUGAAGUAUGUUGGGCACAUUAGGCUUCAUUGAGAAGAUGAUGUAAGAUCUGCAAAAGCCUUCUGUUAGAAGUGUGUCUUAUGUAUUCUAUCAUUCUUAAAGUUACAAUUUUCUUUCAUUUGAAUUCAUAACUUCAAAUUCUGAACAGAAAACUUCAAAUUUCCCUUUGGAAUAAGGUAUUUUUGAACAAUUUGGCCCAUCGCAGGUCUCAAUAGUUGUCUGGGGAAUGAAUGAAUGGAAGACAUUAUAAAAAGGCCAAUAAUUUAUUUUUGGAAGAAACAAGUAUUUCCUUAGCAACUCUCUGGUAGGCACUGUGCAAAGUGCUUUACACAUAUUAUCUAAUUUAUAUAGUACUUAUUACUCAAGAAGAGUAGUUCUCAACCUUUGGCUGCUUAUCAGAAUUAUCUGUAGAGUUUAAAGAAUUUAUAGAUAGCUCUGCUAAACCAAGACUCAGAUUAAAAAAUAACAGGUGAUUUUCUUGGCACCCUUUUUUUUUUUUUAAGGCUGCAUAGGUGACCUUCUAUGUAGCCUGAGUUGAAGACUACAUCAAUCUUCACAUUAGACUUACAAUGGUACCAGAUUUCUUACUGUGUUUCUAAUAAAGAAAUGUUUACAACAGAUGCAGACUUACAUGUUAUCAAUUCAACUGAAAAACACACACAGAUCACCUUUCUGAUCAGUACUGCAUUAGGUGCUGGUGAUAUAAACAUGAGUACAAAAGGGUCCCUGCUACUGUGGGACUCUUCAUGAAAAGGAGAUGGAUUCUCAACAGUCCGGCAGGUUCUGCUGGAGGACAGAGCAAGCAUAGAGCACCGUGGAAAUAUAGAAGCCUUAAAGAACGGGAUGUGAGGAGAGGAGAAUCACCAACCGUUGUUGGAUGAUAUAACUACUGAUCCAAGAAACUGGUAGCUCUGUUGCAAGUAAUCUGGCAAAGACUAAAAUACAAAGAAAGGCAAAUUGUCCUGUUUGCACCGUUUUAGAAAAUUCUAAAAAUCACAGUAUCUUCAAAAGGUAUAUGUCAGAUUAACUAAGUAGCCAUAAAGAUUUUGAUGACAAUGUACUUUCACAAGUUAGACUUCACAUUUUAAUAGGUAAUUGAGACAAGUAUAAAUGAGCCAUAACCGAGAAACUCAGUAUUAGGUUACAUUACAUAAGUGAGUGACCUGAGAUGAAGGAACUGGGGCCAAGUCAGGAAGGGCUUUGCUAGCGGGUGUGGUGGCUCACACCUGUAAUCCCAGCAAUUUGGGAGGCUGAGGCGGACAGAUCACUUUGCACUCAAAAG